UACGAAGGGGGCUAGCGUUGCUCGGAAUCACUGGGCGUAAAGGGUGCGUAGGCGGGUCUUUAAGUCAGGGGUGAAAUCCUGGAGCUCAACUCCAGAACUGCCUUUGAUACUGAGGAUCUUGAGUACGGGAGAGGUGAGUGGAACUGCGAGUGUAGAGGUGAAAUUCGUAGAUAUUCGCAAGAACACCAGUGGCGAAGGCAGCUCGCUGGGACGUAACUGACGCUGAGACGCGAAAGCGUGGGGAGCAAACAGG
rnacentral:rRNA from 1 species